GGAUACUUUUGUCGGUGCCGUUUCCACAGAGUGCUUAGCGCAAAAACCAGACUGAAGCGGGUCUAGCAGAGAGUUGGACUCGAGGAAGUCUGUCAAUCUUGCAUACACAGCUCUUCCAAGGAUCUUGGAUGCAAAAGGCAGUAGAGAGAUAGGACGGUAGUUGGAUGGGGAGUUAGGGUCAAGAUUGGGCUUCUUUAGAAUUGGGGUUAUAGUUGCAUGUUUGAAGGGCGAUGGAAAUAUGCCAGAGGAGAGAGAGAGAUAGAGCAUUUUAGUGAGAGGUAGAGAAAGAGAAGAAGACAGGGUACAGAUGAGAAGCAAAGGAAUUGGAUCUAGAGAGCAGGUGAUGGGGCAGGGGGACUGGAGCAGAGCACAAACCUCUUCCGUUGUAGCAGGUGCGAAUGAACAUAGAACAGCAGAGGGAGUGAGGUUAGGGAAAGUAUUGUAAGGGGAAGAAUAAAGAUGAGAGAUCUCUUCCUUGAUUGUAGAGAUCUUGUCAAUG